GGGGGUGUAGCUCAGCUGGGAGAGCGCCUGCCUUGCACGCAGGAGGUCAGGAGUUCGAUCCUCCUCAUCUCCACCA
rnacentral:tRNA from 1 species